rnacentral:lncRNA from 1 species
CUUACUUCAAGCAUUAACGACGUUGUUUUCAAAAUUUCAGUUCUAACCCAGAAUGCUCGAAAUCUCCGCGUUCAACGUAUUGAUAAUUACAAGCUUGAAAAUAAAUAACAGUGCCCCUCUGACACCACAACAAACUGUCAAAUUAGCGACAGUUGACCGUAAUACGCGCUUGAUACUGGCGUUUUUGAACACAUUGGAUACUUCUAGCAGACGACGGUUUCUUCACUGGAAUGGAUAGCGUACAGGAAAGCCAAAACGAAAUUUCCAGGUAGACUGAUUACGUUGACAGGCUUCAGCGAACACGAACACAUUUAUUAGCUGGAGCCCAGAUUCCCACCGGCACGGAAAUCAACGCUGCAACACCGAAUAGUUACCCAGGAAGGCUAGAAAACGAUAAACAGACAUUGGCCCCGCUAUUUACCAUUGUUGAGUCCUGAUCCGUCACUGAUGAGUGUAAAUGGUUUCGCUUGUACGCUCUGGGAGCAAAGUGGUAUUAUCGUGUAAAACACGAAAUCACGAUAAUGCAAUUUCGAUCAAUAUAAGUAAGAUAAUUGCAGCAGAUUAGUUCUUCAAUUACUAGUGAAGUCAUUUCCCGCAGUUACGUAUUACUGCUGUUGUUACCGUAUGCCCGCGUCCUAUAGAAGUAUUAAGGGCUAAAUAGUCCCGCCACGAAUAUUCAACUGUUUCAUCAUAGCACUUGCCUGAAUCCUGCGGUUCCCUAUCGUCAUUUUGUAUGUUUUCGUGUCCUAUUAUGAUUCAGUACAUCGUGUGAAUAGGCUAAGCCUAUACCUGAUCUCGCGUGCGGCUGAUCAGAGAAGAAAGGGGAAUUCGAAGACUUCAGUACGAGACCAAUGGACUUAUUGGCAGUCAGCGUACGUACAGAUGAAUACACGCCACGAUAACCAGUAGCAAUUGUACGACGCCAUCAUGAAAACAGUAGAAUAGAUCGCAGUAGCUGUAGGCAUGUGAUCGCCGAAUGUCGAAGUGAAGUUGACUUGUUCAGCCUGUUGCUUCCAUCCCUAAACGGCCUGCGUUAAAACCGUCAACGACAUGUAGAAAAGCGGUCAUCCUAAUCUCGACGGGUUUUGAAGAAAGGCAAUCGUAAAUAAGAAUAGGGGACACAUCUCAAUGGGUAAACGCUAUCGCUGAACGGUCAACGCAUAACACCGUGAGAGGGCUAGACUGGUUGCUUUUGGCUGGACCUUGUAAGAAAAAAAAGGGCUAAAUUUGGCAAGCGCAUGGGGCGUAAAAGGUAACAAAUGAAAUGCAACGUGGACAAAUAUAUACAGCAUGAAUAAGAAAGAUUGCCUUUGUUCUAAUAAGUAUAAUAGCAACUUGCUUAGAAGUCACAUCUGGAAGCCGUUUGUGACAAAAAUCAAGUUGUCUGACCAGCAAUUUUUGUAUAUUAUAUAAAAUUUAUAUGCAUUUGGGUAAGUGCUGUUAAGUUAACUUCUGAGUUAUUUUGCGAGCGUAAGUUCAGUUGCGAAGAAGUCGCUAUAUAUGUGAACUAAUUGUGUUUUGCCUGGAAAUCUGCUAGUAUUGCAAAAGGAAUGAAUGACAUUUUAAAAUUGUGGUCAUACGCUUCUAGCAACUGCAGUAGCUCUUGCAGAAUAUUCUGCUGCCUAUUAGGAGCCGUAGCUCGUUGUUUUGUAAUGCCUGACGCUGCAUACUUGCCCUAAUGUUGGCCUGCAAUGAUUUACGUAUAACGCAACGGAAUAAAAAUCGAAACGUAUUUCAUUCCAUUUGAAAUAAAAACAAAAACCUGGGCUGGUUAUCACCCAACAGAGCGUCCAAACUAAGUCGAAAAGUAUCCAAAGGCGUAAUGCACUACAGACAUUGAACUAACCAGACAUACGUAGUUACUGUUUGAUAAAGGAUUCUCAGGUGGCCUAAAUACGAGAGUUGAAAUCUCUCAGCACUCAUAUGAUAUGAUGUAAGCGUACUAAGAAGCACUUACCUCGAAAACAGCAAGCAGACUUCAUCAUCUACUGCGCCAUAGUCCAGACCAGACCGGUAUAUGCCUAUCUAAAACGGUGGUCCUCCUUGAAGGCAGUAACCGGCAAGAAAUCUGUUUCAGAAGAAGUGUGGGAUGUAGAAGUCAGUCGGAUAUCAGUCACGUUGAUAUCUAGAUUCACGAAAUAGCAGCAAACUAUCAGACUGCUACGAGCACCACUCACAGAGAGAUCCGGGCCCGGCAGCGUUCUGGCUAAGCGCCGGUACGGUGCUACCGUCAUCUCAGAGUCGUCAUUCGGAAGGAAGCAGAUAGCCAUUAUGGAAAAGAAAUCGAUUCUGUGAAGGCAGGGAGGAGAUCAGGUAGGUAUUAUAUGCCUAUUCCCUCCUUUCCACUCGGCGUUAAAUGUCCGUUUUGCCAACAGCCUGAUCGUACGUAAACAGGCUGCACAUUAAGAAACUGCAUUAGAUCAGAAACAGGGUCUAUUAGUGAGUAAGAGUUUAUUUGGACUCUGUCGUUGAAUCGAAGAACAUAUAAGCAGCCACCUGCUGUACGUAACGGGUGGCGGUAGUACGUUAACGAACGCAACAUCACCCGAAUAACAUCGAACAGCGAAAUAAAACACAAUUAGAAUUGGCAUAGAUAAUUAAGGACAAAAAAGGAAAAACACGCAUCUCCUUAGUGUAAAAUGCCAGUAGAUGUAAAUAAUACACUGUUUUAACUAUCCACGACUUUGUUUCCGCAUGCACUUACGAUUUAAAGAGAAUCUGUUAAUUGAUUUUAUUGUGAACGCUUUGUAUUUAAUCCCUCUGUGAAGAUAAGAAACACAAAAUUCUACUGAACGAAGCGUUCCAACUACUAACUCGUGGACAUUUCUCUCUGACUUGACUCUAAAAUGAUGUGCUACAAGUUGGACUCGUCUAACCAUUAGACAACAGCUCAUUGUAUCGAAGUCUGCUGCGCCUCCAAAGCGGUAAAAAUCCGUAUAGGACGCGCAUUGUACGUGUUGUAACAAUGCUUCCCAUUUUUGCUGUCCCUGGAAAACAUGGUAUACUUUUUCCAGCGGGGAGCGAUUUAUUGGAAUUGGCAUUUCAAAACUGAAAGAGACCAUCCAAUCGCUGGUUCAGUUCCACCUUCUGUGAAAUAGUGACAGCAGCAGAACCAGCAGCAGCGUGACACAUAACAGUCAAUGUCUACCUCGCCUGAAGUUGGUCACCUCGUAAGCAGGGCAUCGAGUCAAUCCUACGGAAAGAAGUCUCUAGCCAAUUUUGUCCACUACGCCGGCAACCCAAAUCACAGCACAACACCCUUCAUCCACGACUUCGAAAUCAUACAUGGCUAGAACAAUAACAACAAUACAUUUUGCGGAAAUGAAAAACGUUCAGCAAAAAGGAUUUAUAUCAUGGGCCUCAAAGCACAGAAACAAGUCUACGGAAGCAAUCGGCUCGUGGUGGUCACCUCUUUCACUGCGGGACGCUUGGACACGAUAAACAUGUCGACACCUGCUCGUGCAUUUCGUGCGGCGAUCGUUUGUAUCAUUUUUUUCAUCACGUUUGUCAUGUACUACUUCGUUGGCAUUGCGCAAUUUGGUACGGCCAGUGACAGCUCACGCCGUUCGCUAUUAAUUAGGGAACGUUAUCGUUGAACGCUCGUUGAACUGUGUUUGCACAUUUAUCUGACGCAGGGGUGUAUAGACUAGGAAUAUACGUUUUUUUCAAACGGUGAGGAAACGGCCAGCCAGUUACGCUGCGUCCAACAAACAGUGUUACGUCCUAUAUUCUAGGUGUGUCGCCUUUUGAUUCUCCGAUCUAGGCGUAAGGUACGUGGCUUAGCAAAGCUAUUCUGGUCUCAGAGAGUGUGACUGACCCUCCAUUGAUCUAAUGAAUGAUUGACCCUAAUGAAUAGUUCCAAAUAUCUGUCUUGCAAAGUAGCACGAGUCAUACACGAUUCAUUGGAUCAGAUCAUAGUUACGACACACUUAAUAAAUCAACAUAAAAAAUCUACAUUUCUUUAAUCAAUUCCAUGUCAAAAGCAUUGAGUUUAUGAACUUCCUCCUCUAUGCAACUUUUUCCAGUAGUCGAACUAGGUUAAAGGCUACAAGAGCUGACUAUCGGCUAGUAUUGUACCUAAAAGCUUUCGCCGUUUCCUUUGAGAAAGAGUCGAUGCUUCUAGUUGUAUUAAUUAUUGUUGCUAUUCAGGCGGAAGCGAAGCUCGAUAGCCGUCGUUUACAUUCAUUGAAGUCAUCGAAGUCUUUUUGUCAAUAGACACAGACAGACACACGUACCCGCGCAUAAAAACCUCCCCAUUCUUUCAACUUAUCAGCAUCGCUAUCUAUAGCAUGAUGUGCACCUGAUAAACAAACCGAAAUCACCUAACAUUAUAUAUCGGCCUUGUAGGACCGACGACCAGCUAGGUGUGUCGAGGAAGGCACCCAAUCCGCGAGAGAGGUUUGCGACGUACAGUUACGCCUCAGUUCAUUAUGACCGUUAUUAUUAGAGUAUCGAUGUAAUGGUAAUUAUUUAUUCUUAUUCGUAGCUUUCUCAUAUGCUCAUAUCCGAUACUUCCACUACCAGAAAUACUAAGAUCUAGCCAGCAGCCCCUCUAUACCUGACCCAUAUUUCUCGAGCUAAACACAUACCCCAUUAAGGCGCCGCGGAAAAUUAGAUAGCUCAAUUGACGCCAUAUGCUUGGGGCAGAUUGUCAAACCCUCCACUACGCAGGUGCUGCUCUCUUGUUGUGUCUACAUACGCUCUAAUUGUUCCCAUAUAGUUUAAUAUAGUGCGGCUAUUUUUUAUGUUUAACUCAUCUCUUUGAACAGUCAAGUAACUUCAACUUCAGAUAUCACACACAAGACAUUUCCGAAUAUUUAGCAACGGCAGGUAGUAAAGUUAUCUGUGAUCGUACUUGAAAACAACGAUUUGAAUAAAUGGGACACGCGUCGCCGUAAAAACAGUGUUUAAUGGUUUCCUCAUUCAUUCAACUGGCCUGUUUGUUUCUUCGAAUUUUC